UACGGAGGGAGCUAGCGUUGUUCGGAAUUACUGGGCGUAAAGCGCACGUAGGCGGCUAUUCAAGUCAGAGGUGAAAGCCCGGGGCUCAACUCCGGAACUGCCUUUGAAACUAGAUGGCUAGAAUCUUGGAGAGGCGAGUGGAAUUCCGAGUGUAGAGGUGAAAUUCGUAGAUAUUCGGAAGAACACCAGUGGCGAAGGCGACUCACUGGACAUGUAUUGACGCUGAGGUACGAAAGCGUGGGGAGCAAACAGG
rnacentral:rRNA from 1 species